AUUGAACGCUGGCGGCAGGCCUAACACAUGCAAGUCGAGCGGAAACGAUCCUAGCUUGCUAGGAGGCGUCGAGCGGCGGACGGGUGAGUAACGCGUGAGAAUCUACCCAUGAGUGGGGGACAACCCGGGGAAACUCGGGCCAAUACCGCAUACGCCCUACGGGGUAAAGCAGGGGACCUUCGGGCCUUGCGCUGAUGGAUGAGCUCGCGUCGGAUUAGCUUGUUGGUGAGGUAAAGGCUCACCAAGGCGACGAUCCGUAGCUGGUCUGAGAGGAUGAUCAGCCACACCGGGACUGAGACACGGCCCGGACUCCUACGGGAGGCAGCAGUGGGGAAUCUUGGACAAUGGGGGCAACCCUGAUCCAGCCAUGCCGCGUGUGUGAAGAAGGCCUUCGGGUUGUAAAGCACUUUCAGCAGGGAGGAAGGCUUACCCCUAAUACGGGUGAGUACUUGACGUUACCUGCAGAAGAAGCACCGGCUAAUUUCGUG
rnacentral:rRNA from 1 species